AGUGAACGCUGGCGGUAGGCCUAACACAUGCAAGUCGAACGGCAGCACAGUAAGAGCUUGCUUUUACGGGUGGCGAGUGGCGGACGGGUGAGGUAUACAUCGGAAUCUACUUUUUCGUGGGGUAUAACGUAGGGAAACUUAUGCUAAUACAGCAUACGACCUACGGGUGAAAGCAGUAGACCUUCCGACCUCGCUCGAUUGAAUUAGCCUUUGUCGUAUCAGCUAGUUGGCGGGGUAACGGCCCACCAAGUCGACCAUCCGUAGCUGCUCUGACAGGAUGAUACGCCCCACUCGACCUGAGCCGCGGUCCAGACUCCUACGCGAGGCAGCGGUGGGGAAUAUUGGACAACGGGCGCACGCCUGCUCCAGCCAUCCCGCGUGGUUGAAUCAGGGCUUCGCGUUGUAGAGCCCUUUUGUUGGGACAGACAAGCAGCAGGUUAAUACCCCGCUGUUCUGACGGUCCCCAAAGAAUAAGCACCGGCUACCUUCGUG
rnacentral:rRNA from 1 species